GCCUUCUGUAAUCUAGCCAAGGCACCAGAAAUACAGAGUACCCUCAGGCUGCUUGGGAAAUCCAUAGGGCUUGGACACCAGUAAAUGGUUGUUCCCUGUGUUUCAUGUUCCCAGAAUGGGGACAGUCAGGGCCAGCUGGUGCGUGCCCAGCUGAGGCUGGGACAUGGCUUAGAGGCCACCACUGCCGGACACCAUGUCUUUAUGGGGCCAGGACAUGUUCCAAACACCUGCCCAAGGGGAAAAAGGGGGUAGUACUUCAGGACAUACAAUGAAAGAGGACAUUUAGCCAUGUUUGGGGGGAUGCAACUUUGAGUAAUAUCAUUCAGUCUUGCAAAAUGAUUCUUAGUAAUAGGUGAGUUUGAUGUGUCAAUAAGAAAACCUUUUUUAAUCUCCAUUAUAUUUCUGAUAAAACAUUUAAAUUGAUCAAGUCUGAAUUAGAGUUUCAUUGCUCAUGGGAGCCAUAGAGUGGGAGAAAUUGUGUUCUGGUGCCAGAAUCAACUCUUAAUUCCAGUUUGAUCCAGGUGUUCCCAGAGAGAUGCACUUUCUGUAUCAUUUCAAAGAGAAGGUUUGGGCAUUAUAUGAGAUUGAGAGAUAGAUAUAUGCUUUCUUCCUGGCAGAAAGGAGAUUUAUUUUGCAGAAUGGCCUAAACCAUGACUUUGCCAUCAGACCUUCAUGCAGGAGUGACUGGCAUAGUCUGUAUAGACUGUGCUCAUCACUUCUGACUAUCAAGAGGACAAAGAAAUAUGCUGAUACCUUGAUUUUUUUCCAGGUGCACAGGAGUCACAGAGCUGUCAGCAAUCUCAGAAAAUGGUUUUAUUGGUUUCCUUCUUGCUGUAGCAAUUCUUUUCUUUCAAAGAGCCAAAGUAGAUGAGAUAACCAGAAGUGGCAAAGGGAGAACAAGACAAAUGAGUGAAAGUAAGAAAUUCCAAAAGGCUCCAAGUCAUUUUUUUAAAUCUUCUUGGAAAAUAAAUUUCUAUGCCUACCUUUGGCCUAAUGAUUGGCUGCAGGACGCACUUGCUUCUCCAAGCAUUUAGGUAUAGGUAUUUUAAUGAGAUGAUGGGGUGGAAAAUAUGAUGCAGUCAAUACAUUGUGUAACCCUUCAUGUUAAAGGAAAAUUUUAUUAUGAUGAGUAGAUUGAUUGUCAUUUGUUUGUGAGGGAGAUUUAGUAGACUUCUGGUUUGCUAUUGGAAUAAAUGACUCUGCAACAAUCUUGGGUCUAUUUUCAGGCCUGUGGUGCUUUGACAACAGUAGCCAGUACCUUACUGGGAGCUGAGUUCAACAGUAAAAACAUGAAAGGCAGCAUCAUGGCCUCUAGAUGGUUUGGUUGUUGGAAGAGCUUACUGGAUUUUAUCUUGGAGGGAGAUGAGAAACAUGCAGACACAAAUAGCUCAGACCGAGAUGGACACAAUAAAUAAGGCCAUGUUACAUUUCUUGAGGGUAUCUCAGUAAAAACUAAAUUAACAUCACUAUUAAUUGGGAGCCAUGCUUUUAAGUUCAGUUAAGUUUAAGCCUAUUUUUUGUGAAACAGUUUAAGGAAUUCCUAAGUAAAAAGACUCUGUUAGUAACAUCAAGGCUGACAUAAAAGCUUUGUUAUCACAAAUGCAUCUUUUGGCUCUCAGCAUAUGCUUUUUCUGAAGUCUUGCCUUCUUAGGCAGGAAUAAUUUCAACAGUAAUCUGUUUUGUUGCUCAUUUGGAUUCUACUUUUGGAUAAAAGAGAUGAGAUCCCAAAGUGGUAGUGUAUGGUGAGCACCAUCAAGGAAUAUUGGGUAAGGUUAUUCAGGUACAUAGGACAUGUUAAUAUCAUCAGGUUGCAUAGCUGAGACAUUAUUUUGCAUGCUAGUUCAUGCCCAUGGAGGUCAGUUAAUCCAGAAUUAUAGGGUGUAUUGACAUUUUUUCAUGUUCUUUACUGAAAUUGAUUACCACAAUUCAACACCUUGGAGCACUAAGAAAUACAUAUAGAAUGUGUCAGACUUGAGUGAGGUAUGUAUUCUGUAUUCAGUCCAUGGACUUGAAGAUUAUUCUUCCCCAAUGUAAGUGCCUUCACACCACGUUAUUGCUUUUCUUUGGGUAACACUCUCUCAGUCUCUCCUAUUUUGUUUUAUACCAGCAGUGGUAUAUUUCCAGGAGCCAAGGACUUGACUUCAGAUCUCUCACACCCUAUGUGCCUUUACAAACAGUUAUGGAAACUGAGCAGCCUGUUUUCACUGGAAAUUCCAGAUUGGCAAGACUGAGCUGUCUAAUGAGCUGGAAUCCCUUCAUCCUAAAUCUCUGGAAGCUUCUACUGUCUGGAAAAAAGGCUUUUGGUGCAGUUGUGGUCUUUACCUCUAAGCAUGCAGGUCACAAACAGCCGCCUCAGGAACAGCUCUUUUGUGACCAAGAGAGUAUCUAACACGUGUGAGAUGCUCCUUGUGAGAGCUACAACACAGCAUUGUAUUCCAAACUGCUCCUUUAAUUAUACUGACUCCUAUUUUAUCCUUGCUCCUUCACUAUUGUCUACUCUUCCUGCAGUCCUAGUCCCCUGCACUUCCCUCAGACCUCUUUUUCUUCUCAGCCAUUUUUUAAUAGAAGAUUAUGUAGCCAUGGAACUGCUGUUCAGCAUGGACAAUUGGAUGAACUGCCUGCAGAAGACACAUUUCAGACUGCUUCUCCAUGUCCAUGAAGCCAGUGAGGCUUCAGACUGGAAACACAGUUUUAUUUCUUUCCGCCUCACUGAGGAGUGCAUGGCUGGGAGAAAAAAGAUGGGAGAGAUUUUGGUGUACUUGAUCAUAGAUACCAGGGAGAGCUGAAAGCCUGGGCCCUAAUCACAGGUGUGCCAGAGUCAAAAGGGGGCUCAGAUCCAGGAUAUAGGUCUGGUCAAAUAUCUUCAGUGUGUCAGCUCUUCUGAAACAUUUCAUCACUACAUCGUUCCUCAUCAUCUAUUCCAGGGCCACAGGAAGAAGGACAAGUUACACUCUGCAAGUGUCAAGGCCUUUUUUGAUUCAGAGCAGUGUGAAUGCACAUAGGCUGCUAAAGCAGAAACAUCAGCAGUUAUUAAAAAAUGAAGACCUUUCUUCCAGAAAGGGCUAAAUAACUGAUUUCUUUCAUGCCUGGUUAUUCAUUUGUGUAAUAAAAACCAGCUACACUUCUGAGAGAGAAAUAGUCUUACACAAUGGCAAAGAAAGGCCACUUUCACUGUUUGUUCAACCUGAAUUUUUGUCUGGAAUAAAAAGUAAUGGAUUACCCAGGUAAAAAAAAAGCCAUGUAAAAAUGUCUGUAUUUGAGCUGUUUUGAAGGUAAUCAACACCCAGAUUUUGCUCUCACUUGGUAAGAAAAGCUCCUUUAAUACCUUCUGCCAACUCUCUUAAAAGUUUGGCUUCUCUUCUGAAGAGAUUUAGGAGUGCAGGCAAAAUCCUUCUUACUUUGCAACUUUGGGCCCUAUUUGUUUUGGAUAUGAUGGUUAGUGGGUUUGAUUCACUAAUCUGACUUUAUUAAGAGGCUGUACAAGUUAUCCCACAAAGAACAGCCUGAAAGACAGAGAAAAGCAGGGAUGCACCAGGGAUGAGGGACUUACACAAACCGAACCUACCAUAAUGUAACAAAAUCGGGGCUUGCUAGAAAACAAAAUGGAUCUAAGCCAAGGAUAAAUGAGUUCAUCUUAUUCCUCACAGUCCUCUCAGGCAGAAGAUGAAGGCAACUGACAGAAGACACUUGCUACAGUCAGAAAUCUAGGGAUACCUUCAGUCCCCAUUUUCUUUAGUCUUUCUUCUUUGUAGGAUGUUUUAAGCCAGUACUUUUAGUCCUUUUUGCACAGAGCAACUAAAUAGUUCUGUCUACAUCCCACAAAUUGUAUGUGACAGUGCCUGCUAAAGGAAACCUGUUCUGCAUCCAUUUAAACUAAGAUACAUCCACAAUCUAUUUGCACUAAGAUCACAGGAGUUUUUUCUAAGCAAACAGAUCUAACCACUUGUUGUAUAACCAUAAACACACACAAUUUAUGCACAAUGUAAUUAUUUCUGAAGGUUUAGAUAAUUUUCCCCCUAAUUUUAAAGGUAAAUACAACUUUUUUGUGAAUGGAAACCACUCCACUUAGUGCACUCAAGUGGAGUUGACAUCCAUGUUACACUUCAGCUCAUCUCUUUUAUGCUUAGAAAAGAAAAACAGGAUUAAGAAAAGCAUUUAUGGUUUUUGUUUAUUUAUGUUUUUCUCUUUUGUUUUAAUUUAAAAUGCUUUAA